rnacentral:rRNA from 1 species
UACGUAGGGUGCAAGCGUUGUCCGGAAUUAUUGGGCGUAAAGAGCUCGUAGGCGGUUUGUCGCGUCUGCUGUGAAAACUCGGGGCUCAACUCCGAGCUUGCAGUGGGUACGGGCAGACUAGAGUGCGGUAGGGGAGACUGGAAUUCCUGGUGUAGCGGUGGAAUGCGCAGAGUAUCAGGAGGAACACCGGUGGCGAAGGCGGGUCUCUGGGCCGAUACUGACGCUGAGGAGCGAAAGCGUGGGGAGCGAACAGG